AAUCAACGCUGGCGGCGUGCCUAACACAUGCAAGUCGAACGAUUAAAGCCCUUUCGGGGGUGUAUAGAGUGGCGUACGGGUGAGUAACACGUGGGUAAUCUACCUUUGGGUGGGGAAUAACUCAGGGAAACUUGAGCUAAUACCGCAUAAUGCAGCGGCUCGACAUCGAGACAGUUGUUAAAGAUUUAUCGCCUGAAGAGGAGCCUGCGCCUGAUUAGCUAGUUGGUGGGGUAAGGCUUACCAAGGCUACGAUCAGUAGCUGGUCUGAGAGGACGGCCAGCCACAAUGGCACUGAAACACGGGCCAUACUCCUACGGGAGGCAGC
rnacentral:rRNA from 1 species